UGGAAGGGAGGUACUACAUCAUUCUACUAAUUGCCUAUAUUAGAUAUCUGAGGCGGUUAUCUGGGCACAGCAAAGCAGAGAUGACAGCAGUGCCCUCCCCUCAGCACAUGCUGACAGCAGGGAAACCAGUACGGCAGGCAACUGGCACCUCACACAAACCCCUGUCUCUCUGCCUGAAAAAACGACACCAACAGCAAAAUUUUUGUGGGUGAAAGUGAAACAGAUGAAAACAAGGUGAAACAGCUGGCCGGACCAAUUCCGCCGGGAUCGGAAUAGUAAAGGCCAGAGUGGGGAAGGCAGCUCCAAAAAGAGGCCAUAUCUUUACACUGCACAAUUGCAGUUUUUGCGUCCGUUGAUGGAUUUGAGGCCUACUGUGGAUAGUCUGGAUGAGCCUGAAGACUCAGAGACGGCCCUAAGUUAUACGCCGGCAGUGUUUUCCCCGGCAACUAGUCCUGCCUCAACGCCCGCUUAGGAGCCGGACUAGCCAUCACAGGCCGAGCCCACCCUAUCUCCGCGGAGCCCUUUACCAGUCCAGCAGCCGCAGCCCAGGCAUCGCCUGCGUCAACGCAAUGUCCCUCACUACUCCUCUGGGCAAGCACCUCGGGAGAUGAUAGAUGCCCGAGUCAUUGAAUUCCUUUUACCAAUGGGAUGGCCAAAAAACCUCAGCCCACAAGCCCACGUCAAGGGUCCUCAUUCUCUUGCUAGUCCCUACACUCAACUACCACAAUAAAUUAACAUAAUCUAUCUGCAAAAUAAUAAAAAACGAAAGAGCCCAGAAGAUUUCAAAAACUGCCAUGAAUAGCGCCCCUCUGCCAUGGCAAGGACCCCUCUGGGCUGUAAAAGUAGUC